GUGCGCAUGCCCGGAAGAAGAUCUUCAGCGUGAUCAGAUUAAAUGUAAACUGCGUUCCUUCAGCAUUAAAUGUGUUUAUCAAGUUAAUCGAUCGAUUUGAUCGAUCUUCACAGCAGUGUUCGACUCCAAGACUCGAUUGGUACCGAUUCAGAUGAUUUACUAACUGAUUUAGGAUUCACUCGACGCGCGGACAGGAUGGUGUGUGAGCUGCUUCUGUCCUCGGUGUGGUUUCUUUUCGUCAUCUUCUGGCUGGAGACCAUCAGCGUGUGGCUCUUUCUGUGUCUGUACUAUCAGGACCGGGUCUUCUAUCACUGGGGCUCAGGGGGGUUUGCAGAUGAUCCAGAUCAGUUCCUCUACGUGCUGAGCAGGAUUGAUCUGUCGACGCACAUGCAGACGUGAGGAGGUGAUGUCAUCAGGAGGAAAAGGCAUGGCCUGAGGAUGUGGGCGGGGCUGCCGUGAGAGGCGGAGCUCCGCUAGUCUGCGAUGAGGAGUUUCAGGAGGCCGAUGGGCUCAUUCGUCCUAACAGCAUUUUCUCUUCAUAAGGGCGUGAUGUUAUCCUGUAGUCCUGAACUCAGACUGGGGACCUGUGUGAACGGUUUAUCUGUCUAAUCUGUUAAACUAGUUGGAGAUUCGGCUGUUACUUUCACUCUUUAAAACACUAACAGAUCCUUGUCUACUUAUUGCUUUUCUAUUUUUGUACCGAUUGGGGUUUUUGCAUUAUGAUGUUGUGUAAUAAAAGCCAUUUUACAGA